AUGAGGCAGCUGGGGACAAGGCGUGCGAGUCUCUCUGCCAGCCUGAAGACAGGGGAUCGCUGGGGCUGCUGCCGAACACCGGAGGAAGAGGAAGCUCACAUCCCGUUUGCGCAGGACAGCCUGGUAAAGCAAUGGAGCUCUCUGCAGAACGUGACAGACAGAAACCAGGAGAAAAGCAAGACUCCCAUCCAAAGGAACAAGUACUUGCUCAACAUUAACGUGGGUGGCAAAUUGUUCUACAUAGCUUACAAUGCAGUGGCCCGGUAUCCCAUCACCAGGCUGGGGAAGCUGGCCCUGUAUACAGACCCUAUGAAGAAGAUGCAGCUCUGCGAUGACUACUCAGUGCAGAAGAACGAGUACUUCUUUGACAGAGAUCCUUCGAUUUUUUACUACAUCUUCCACUUCUACCGCAGCGGUGUCCUGUGGAUAAUGGAUGAGGUGUGCCCCAGUAACUUCGUGGAGGAAAUCGAGUACUGGGGAAUCCAUCUGAAAUACUCCCAGCGCUGUUGCCGGAUCCUGUUUGAGGAAAAGCAAGAUGAGCUCAGCGAGUACCUGAAAAUACAGAAGGAGCUGGAGGCAGAGCUGGAGCCCCUGGACUCAGCAGAGCAUUUUGAGGGCAAAUUUCUGGGACGGUUUCGGAAGAUGAUCUGGAACCUCAUUGAGAACCCAUACUCUUCUGUCCCAGCCAAGAUCAUUGCUGUCAUGUCAAGCUUCUUUGUGCUUAUCUCCAUCGUGGGCAUGACGCUGAGCACAGUGGAGGAGAUGAAACACAAGACGGGGAAGAUGUGGAUGGAGCAGCUGGAGAUGAUCUGUGCCAUCUUCUUCACCUCCGAAUACCUCAUGCGGCUCAUAUCCUCCUCCAGCUUCAAGAACUUUUUGCGGGCAGCGUUUAAUGCUGUAGACCUGGUGGCCAUCCUGCCCUUCUACGUCCAGAUCCUCUUUGAAAAUCUGGAUGAAGGAGACACGCUUUACCAUGAAGAACUGCACAAAGUGGAGAAUGUGAGCAAGCUGGGCAAAGUCCUCAAGCUCAUCAAGCUCAUGAGGAUCUUCCGCAUCCUCAAGCUGGCACGUCACUCCACCGGCCUCCGGGCCUUCGGCUUCACCAUGCGCCAGUGCUACCAGCAGGUUUGCUGUCUCCUCCUCUUCAUCGCCAUGGGGGUCUUCACCUUCUCCGCUCUCAUGCACUCUGUGGAACAUGAUGUCCCAGGCACCAACUUCACCAGUAUCCCCUAUGCAUGGUGGUGGGCAGCG